GCAGAACAUACACUCGAUAGCAGCACACGGAGGAGGAGCACUGCAAACUGGGGCUCUCGCUCUGCAGAGCUCUGGAGCCUGCGCUCCCCUUCAGAAUGAGGACAGUCGCCUUACAGCCGACUCUUCCAAUUCCUCUCGAGUUAUCCCGAGCUACCGAAAUCGGCGUGUGUGUUUUCGCGCUGAGUUGAUGUACCCCUUUUGGUUACAUUUCUACGAGUCGGACUAACGAGAACGGAGCCCUCCGCGUUUCUGCCGCUCUCCAUUCGCUCCUGCAGCCCCCCCCGGCCGUAGCGCUCCGUACGGACCCACCGGUCGGGCCCCGACGGCAGCGCACUGCGGGCAGCCCCGGCCGCAGCCCCUCCGCCGUUCUCUCUCCGUCCGAGGUCGUUUCUCUCUCUCUCCUUUGCAAACGUUUUCCUAAAAAUAAAACUUCCACAGAAAUGUUUUAAGACGAGGUUCGCGAGGAAACGGUUUAAUUUUCACCAUAUGUCGCCACAGAUUAAAGAAAAAAAAAAAAAAUCUUUCCGCUGAAGCUACCAAAACCAAAAAAAAAGACUUAAUCUAAGAAUGCGUUCUCCUUAAUCCGUCCUCCCCCCAACACCCUGUGGGCCAUUUUACGGGCUCCAAAUAAAUCUUUCAGGUGGCAGCGAGGCGAAGAAGCGGCGCAGUGAUGACGGAGGAGCAGCCCCUGCCCCGCGUUAAUGCCACCGACGGGUGGGUCCGCGGCAGCCGCCCACCGCCGGGACGGAGGGACCCAUCUGAAUGAAAAUCUAUUAGCCCUCCUCUCAGAGACGGGAGCCGCGGAAAUCGAUAAAGAG
rnacentral:lncRNA from 1 species